rnacentral:misc_RNA from 1 species
AACGCACAUUGCGCCCUCUGGUAUUCCGGGGGGCAUGCCUGUUCGAGCGUCAUUACAACCCUCAAGCUCUGCUUGGUAUUGGGCGUCACCGCUGUGGUGCACCCUAAAAUCAGUGGCGGUGUCACCUGGCUCCUAGCGUAGUAAUACUUCUCGCUAUUGAGCUUAGGUGUAUGCUUGCCAUAACUACACUCUCAAGAUUGACCUCGGAUCAGGUAGGGAUACCCGCUGAACUUAA